GACGAACGCUGGCGGCGUGCUUAACACAUGCAAGUCGAACGGAAAGGCCCUGCUUUUGUGGGGUGCUCGAGUGGCGAACGGGUGAGUAACACGUGAGUAACCUGCCCUUGACUUUGGGAUAACUUCAGGAAACUGGGGCUAAUACCGGAUAGGAGCUCCUGCUGCAUUGUGGGGGUUGGAAAGUUUCGGCGGUUGGGGAUGGACUCGCGGCUUAUCAGCUUGUUGGUGGGGUAGUGGCUUACCAAGGCUUUGACGGGUAGCCGGCCUGAGAGGGUGACCGGCCACAUUGGGACUGAGAUACGGCACAGACUCCUACGGGAGGCAGCAGUGGGGAAUAUUGCACAAUGGGCGGAAGCCUGAUGCAGCAACGCCGCGUGCGGGAUGACGGCCUUCGGGUUGUAAACCGCUUUCGCCUGUGACGAAGCGUGAGUGACGGUAAUGGGUAAAGAAGCACCGGCUAACUACGUG
rnacentral:rRNA from 1 species